ACAGCAGGGGGAUCAAAACGCAGCCCUGGGGUGCGCCGGUGUUAAAGAUGAAGGUAGAAGAGGUGCAUCUGCCUACCCUCACCACCUGGGGUCUGUCCAUCAGGAGGUUUUAAUCCCACGUCCUUGAAGUUUGUGACGAGCUUGGAGAAUGAGAGCGACGCGCAAGAAAAUGCUUAUUCAGAGAGCAAAGUGCUUCGUUCUGCAGGAUGAAAAUGCACAGAGACAGAAAGAGAAGAACAAAGAUCACCAGUUUUAUUACUUCUUUGCCACAGUAUUUUAGCCAGCAGUGUCAUGAUCUAACCUAGAUACAGGGUGGAGGGGUUAAACUGGAGCGAGAUGGGCCAGGUGUACGGGAGGUAUAAUUUAGAUUUAGUUGCGGAGGGCUUAAUCUGAUGGAGGAUUAAGAAUGUAAAGUGUUAUGAAAGAGGGAACAUCAUCCUAAGGCAACUGCAGCUAUGUCAUUCUGUGUCAGAUACCACCUCAUGUCCCCGUUACACAACCUCUAAACCAAUCCAACCUCAGCGAGCAGCUUGCCUUGACUGACUCUCUUAAGCUGCAUUGUGGCUGCGGGGUCGUCUUUGCUUUAUGUCACAGAAAAAAGGAGAGAAAGAUGCAAAAUAUCUAUGCCUAUAGCACAAUUAUGUACUGUUUCAAGAGAAAUGAGUUCAGGUAAAAGUGUCUUCACACUGAUUUACAAUACAUGCUUCACAAAGAUCAGUCACACUACAAAUUUAAGAUUACAUUUUUUAUUAUUUGUGUACACUAUGUAAUCUUGGCUCAUGUCCACAAUGGCACCAGUUUGUUUUAUAAGUCAUGCUUGAUGCCUUGCUCCACUGUGUGCUGUUUGUGGCCCAGCUGGUGCCAGGAUGACACACUCCAGAUGCACACACACACACACACACACACACACACACAGGGAGCACGUGUUGCAGAAUGACUUGAUUAAAUCUUUGCCAAUUUGGGUUUAAUUUGUCCUAAGUGAACGCUGGAGAGCAUCUCACCCCCGUCUCCUCUGUCACUCAUGUUCCUGCUUAUGUAACAGCAGCAGCGGAGUAAUUGAAUUACCAGUGUCCUGUACGAUAUCGUUGGCCAAAUGCUCUGACAUGUUCUCCAUCGCUAAAUGUCUGCUAAGUGUCGGGUCUUCUUUCUGUAAUCACUGUCACUUAUUGAUGUACAACUGAUUAUUCUGUAGUGCUUGAAGUAAUGGCACAUCCGCCACAACUGGUUUACAAUAUGUGGUGAAGUGUUACCAGUAAGUCGUGGAUAUUUCCAUACAAGGUCACAGUGAGAGGUGACUACAAAGGCUGGUGGGGCUCUGUGCUGGUUAAAGCUUGAGAGUGUUUUAAACAAAGAAGUUGAAACAGUG